rnacentral:lncRNA from 1 species
UUGAAUUGUGUUUGAUUGAAUUUCUUGAAGAAUGGUGAAGCUUGGAAAUGGGUUUUUUGUGUGUUUUUUUUUUCUCAUUUUCUUGGGAGAAGUGAUUUAGAUUGAUUGGAAAAGAAAUCCCUUUUUUGUAUGGAUAGUUUAGUUUUUUUUUUUUUCUUGGGUGGUGUUUUUGGUUUUGUGAGAAAUGGAAUAGAUUGAUUAGAUGGUUCGGGCAUGUGAAGUGGAGAGGUGCAGAUACCAACGGGUAGGAGGUGUGAGAGGUUGGUCUUAGAUGGUUCAGGCAUGUGAAGAAUAGAUUGAUUUCUGGUUUUCUGUCUUUCAAAUCAAUCAAUCAAUCAAAUUUUUGCUUUAUUUGGUUUCAUUUCAUUCACUAUGGAAAAUUAAUUGACUGAAAUACUCGGAAAGUAUACUGUAUACUGCUGAUGGCAAGUGCAUUUUUUUUUUCUGAUGACCGUGGUCACGGUCAGCUUAUGUGCACUUCGACUAAUUUCAUGGGAUAUCUACCACCCUGACCACCAACAGUAAUAGAGAGUCUCUGUGUCCAUCAAGACUAGAAUAGAUGGGAAGAAAUCAUCUAGUGUCUUUGUCUAUAUUGAAAACAAUUGCGGUGUUUUUGCGAAUACAUCUUCUUUUAUGAGAAGCGGAGAUUUACCAGCUUAUCAUAAAUUUCAAAUUACACUAAAGAAAAGGAAGAACUUCUUGUCUUCUUAUUGUUUGUAAUUAAAAGUUGAAGGAACAUAGUGUAGGAUGAGUAGGUGUUUCUCUGUUAGAUCAAUGCGUAUUAAAAGAGGAGAAAUAGACCUAAACUCAAGAAGUUAUUUUAGAAGACCUAUAAUCUUUCCGAACUAAUGCAAACUUAGUAAGAAUAUAAACAAAGGAGUCACCUAGGUGGUUAUACCAACUAGUUGGGACUAAUGCUUAGUUCUUGUAGUACUUACAUUAGGUCCAGUGUUCGUCAAAAGUCUUUGUGGCUUGUCUAGAGAUGUGUAUGUCAGUAUUUGUAGAAGUAUGAGAUGAGUAAAGCUCUAGUUUUUGAGAAAUCCUAACUUGCCGAAAAACACAUAUUACUUGCCAGCACUAAAUAGAGUAGAAUGGACACGGGGUUUUUAAUCCAAUCCAGCUGUUUGGGGAUUGAGGCCUUGUUGAUUUAUUGACGAUUGAUUGAUUGAAUAGAAUAUAUCGAUUAGCUCACAAUUCUUUUCAUAUCACGCUUAAGAAAAUUCAAGAACUUUUUUUUUCUUUUGAUAACUAAUAUUAGAGGGACAUAGUGGAGGACAUGUAAGAUUAUUGUUUUCCUUUAACUUAUAAGUGGUAGAUCCUUCCGUUGAAUUGAAUUAAAUGACAAGUUUCCUCCAUUGUGUUACAAAGAUACUCGUUGACCUCUUCAUCUCUAUAGUAAUGCUACCCUCCAAGGUUCCUUGGAAUUUUAUGUUGUUUGAAAGGUUAACGGAGCUAUCUACUUCAGGGCUAGCUAGCCAGGUUUACGUUCACCUGAUACAGUAGAUGCAUUCUUGUUACUGGCACUGGAUAAGUGUAAUGGUAUAGAUUGGAUAUGAUGAUGUACGGAAAUCAACAUUUGUAAUGGUAUUCUUGUUAAUGAUGCCAUUAGAAUAUUAAAUAUCAAAAUAAAAGUGCACUACAUGCCCUUGCUUAAUUUUUACUUCUGGUCAAUUUGGUAACGUAGGUUAUCUAGUUGACUGAGGGAUUGUAACCUAAUUUGUAUACCAGGGUCUCAACAAGAGGCUUCGAAAAUAAAUUAAUAGAACCUGUGUAGUCUAAGGUUGAUCUUAUUGGUUAAAUACCAACCGGUAGGAACUUUUGCAAUAAUUAAAGUGUGUAUAGUGAGGUUUUAGAGUUUGUGUUCACCCUGUUGCAUUCAAAGCUCUAUGAAGGCCAUGAAUGGUAUGUCAAUUGUGGUGCACACAUUAUAAACCUGUGGAGUUGAAACAGAAAUUAUUCCUUAGUGAUAUUGUUUUAUGGAAAUUAAGUAAAUCUACAGAAGUUUCAUUAAGUUACUUGCAUAACAAACUCAAGUAGAUAGAAAUGUUUCAGUAGCCUCCCAUAGUUGUUCGUAUCCCCUCACAAGAAAUGCAUAUUCUGCACUUUCAGAUAAUGGUCUUUAGAGCUAUUAGAAGCUCAAACUCCAGGACUUUCAGUGUGAUGUAACUCUUAAACAUGUCCUUCUCUUGCUAAUGUUUAUGCAACGUUUAUUGGCUUUGAGUCGAUCUCAUAAUUUACAAGAUCGUUGUAUUGGAGCAGUCGGACAGAAACUUUCGUGCUCCUGUCCUAAGUUCUAGCUACCCCAUGUCAUCCCUGUAUAUGCUGUUACUCAUGAGAUAAAGCAGGGUUGGUCAUUUUCUGGAUUCAAAAUUUCCCCCCAUAUCUGUCGAGGCAGUUUAGGGAUCACAUCUGCCCCUUCAUAUUUACAUGAUGUAAUCUUAGUUUUAACCAUAUUAAAGGCUUUCCCAGUAUACAUUUCAUAAGGAAACUUGAGGUAACGCAUGAUACCAUAAUAUGUGACCAUGGAGCCUCCUUCAAUAUGUUUAAAAGAAGACUCAUCCUUUGGAGCAUGUUGUAGAACCUAAACUUAUCUUGUAAGAAAUUGAUGCACUUGUUGCUGCUUUACUACCAUUGAGUGCAUAUUGAAUUGGCUAUUCGGGUGUUAAAAGCUUACAUGCUCGUCUUGAAAGCCACACCGUCACAUGGCAUAUCCCUUCUGGACAUGAAGACAGUUAUAUAAAUUCUAACUGCAUAUUGCUUUUCAAAAAUAUUCUAAUUGCCUGUUGCAUUACCGUUCACUAGUUAUUCCACUACAUAUAUAUUCAAAACUAACCGCCAAUCAAGGCCUUCUGGUUGGAUGUGACUACAUUUAUAGUGGAUGGAUCUUUGUUUAGUAAUGAUUUUGUUCACCAUUUUACCAGCAACCAUUUCUAGAGCUUAGAAAACCAUUUGUAGUCCCACAUUCUGGUUGGAUGUGACUAUUGGAAUGUUAUUUAUUGUAGUUUUUUCCAGGACUCGACUUGCAAAUGUAGCAAUAGUAUAUAUCAAUUUUGGAAUAAUGAGAGUUGUGUAAAUGCUGUUUUUUCUCAAUUAAGAUAAGUAGCUGAAUCAAAUGUAUUCACUGUUUUAUGACAGAACUUCACAUUAACUAGCUGAAACAGGGUCGAUUUAUUCUAGUUUAAAGUUCAAUACAAAAGUGAUAUUAGUCAAAGAAGGAAUAUAUGACCAUUUUGCAGCGUUUUAGCAUUUAUAUGUUUAGCUAAUGUAUGCGUCUCUAUGAUAGAUAAUGUUCCCUUGAGUAUAGUUGUAACAUGUCAGUUUUGAUCCCAGGCAGAAAUUGCUCGGCAAGAAGCCAGGUUAAAGAUGGAGAGGGAAAACCUCGAGAAAGAGAAAAGUGUGCUAAUGGGAACUGCAUCGAAUCAAGAUAAUCAAGAUGGAGCUCUUGAAAUAACAGUUAGUGGGGAGAAGUAUCGUUGUCUGAGAUUCGCAAAAGCAAAGAAAUAAAAACACUAAAAGUAGGAGCAAAUAUCAGUGUCCUUGUGUUUGUUUAUACAGCUAGUUUGCUGGAUGGAUGCUCAUAUAAAAUUUUAUUAAGAUUUGAACUUUUGCAGCCUCUCUUACUUGGGAAAGAAAAGAAAUUUAGAUCUGCACCUCUUUGAAAUUCAUUGAAAAAUAUUGCUGCAUUUUUUCUGUUGUGCCUCUUUGAGGCCUGAGCUUUCAAAAUCAGUUCUACCAAAAUUGCUCUUCCUUGGAAACCUGAAACGCCCGAGUUUAUCCUAGUCUUCUCUUCCUUUGGAUGUUGUCCAGACAAUUCACUGGUCAUCUAACUACAUCCUAUAAAAGAUACGCGGGUGGUUCAUAUCUAAUAUAGUUUGGGUUAUGGGUCCGGAGUCGAUUCCAACGUGCACUAUCAAGGCUUUACAGCCUACAAGUGCAUUGGUGCUAUGAUUUCGGUUAUUCCCAAUAUGCACUAUCAAGGCUUACAGUAUACAAGUGCAUUAGUGCAUGUUUUUAACACAAAAGAUGUGUAUGUUGCUCUUUGUGGGUCAAGUUGGAAAUCCUUAGCUAUUACCUAUAGGAUUUGAGGGUCCUUUCAAGGUGAAAAGAUAAUUUUCUUCUCUUCUUUUUAUGGGAAAGUUGUAGCUAAAGAAGGCCAGACCAUUUGGGUUUAGUUGAAAUUGUGCAAAGGUCUCUUUACAGAAGGUAAUUGGGAAAUUCAGUUGUCUCGCAAGCUGCCUUUUCUAUUAGUAGACCAACAUUAUUGUGUCAAUGCUAGAGGCAGAUUCAUAAUUUAAAGCUAGGUUCAGUGUGUUGUGGCACCAUCCACUAUUACUUUGUGAUGAUGAAGGCAAACCCCUCGUUUUUGCUCCUUCAGUAAAUCUUAUGGUCCUAAGCCGGGGGUCUACUGGAAACAACCUCUCUACUUCACCUGAGAUAGUGGUAUGGUCCGUGUACACUCUAUCAUCCCCAAACCCCACUGUGUGGGAAUAUAUUAUAUUGGGUAUGCUGUUGUUGUUGUUGUUGUUGUUGUUGGUAAAUCUUAUGGUUGGAGGUUGAAGUGGUUGAGAAUUAUGAGGUCUCAGGUUCAAAAUUUUGCAGAGAAGUGAUCGCAGUGGCGGAUGCCCUCAUCCUCAUCACUCUACCGCUGCUUCAUCUUUGACUAACUCCACAGAAGAAUGUGACUUUACCAUGAGAAGGAUAGUGAUGUCUACAUUGUUGCCUAUCUUAAAUUCCAUCCAAGAAAUGAUUACAGGGUUAUGAAUUUUUUUAAUUUUUUUUUCGGUUACCCAAGAUAUCCCCACAGCCGGCAGCCAUGAGACUAAUCCUCCGUUCUUCGAUUAGCGCAUUUUGCGAUAGGGAACUGGCCACACAGUUUGCUCCAUUCGCCAGGGUUAUGAAUUAUUUGUGUGAUAAAACUAAUAAAAAGCUUGAUGACUUUUCUUUGUUUUCAAAUGUCACCCAACAACACCUUUACUGCCAUAAUGGGCAUUACUCUUGAAAUUUUUACAAAAAGGAGUUGUCUCUAAUAAUCAAGUUGAAACUUUUGAAUAAUUCAUUUGGGGUGUGUUUGGUAUGGAGGAACGUUUAUCAAUUUCUUUUCAUGUUUGAUUAGAACAUUCGAAAAAUAUUUUCUCCAGGUGAAAAAUUCUUUAAAAAUAAGAAAAAUAUCUUUUAUUAAUGAAAUUAGCGAAAACAAAUUUACGAGUAACAUUUCACCAAACCCAUGUAGCGGUAUUUCCACCACCCCAAAACCUCUACCUCACUCCCUAUAUUAUUUAUUUAGAUUAUAUAGAAAAACUUUUAUGAUAAUAUUUUUUGCUUAUUUGUCGAAUAUAAUUAAGAAACUCACAUGUUUUUAAGAAAACAUUUUUCUUUCGUAUCAAACACAUCCUUAAUGUCAUUUUAAGUACAGUUAGCUAAUUUUGUUUCUAACGUUAAUCACUCCUUUCCUAAAAGAUAACCUUAUUUCCCUUUUACUAUAUGUCUUUAAAAAGCAAAAAAAACAAAUCUUAUUCAUGGACCUAGAAAUUUUCCCAAAUAUUAGAAAACUCAUGAGAAUUCAAUGACGUCUGGUUUAACAAUUUCAAAAAAGAAAUGUCUCCAAAAACUCCUCUUUUCUAAAAAAAAAAUGAACCAAAUGCCACGGACGAAAUAAUUCACAAGUCCAAACAAUUUUAAUAAUUUGCAAAAAACAUCUUCUUUCUUUUAAAAGAAUCUUUUAUAUGAUUUCUUGAUAUCAUACUCCAGAAGUUAGCAACACAUUGCAAAAAAAAUAAAAAGAAGCUAAUUAUUGCAUAAAUAUCAUAAGAAGUGGGAUGAGUUGGAGUGAGCUACGUUGUUCUUCAUGUGGUAACCAUUUUUCACCUUCAAUUUUCAGGUUAUAAGUCUCAGUUAUUUUCAGGCAGCCUUUUUUGGAUGUAAAAUAUUAAGGAGAGAAGUUAUCAAAUAAGGGGAUUUUUGUAAUUAUUUUGGAAUUUAUGUAAAUAUUUUACCAAUUUAGGAUUUAAUGUAAUUAUGUAAUUUUAACUUGUGUAUAUAGAUAAUUUUUAGAUUAAAAAUGGCCAGCUACUGUAUUAAUUAGUGGUUUUAAAUUCUGAAAGUAAAUAUAAAAUUAGUAAUGUAAAAGCAAACAUAUUAAUUAGUCUUAAAAAUUUAUAGUCAUAAAAAAGUUAGGUAAGGGAAGUGGGAUUGAGUUGUACAUGUGAUGAGCUGUGUUUUCCUUGUUAGGAUUAGAUGCUUUCACCUGAGCUGUCUUCCCUUCAAAAGUUAAUUGGAGUUAUGGAUAUUUCGUUAUGAUUAUAAAAAAAAUGAAUACUAUAUUAUAAUAAUUUUUAUAUUAUCAUAUAAAAUUGACACACAUAUAUAUAUAUAUAUUUAUAUAUGUGUAACUUAAGAGUAGUGGUUAUUUCUCUUAGGAAUUCUUGAGGAGUGAAUUACAAUGAAGGAAAACCCCUUUAUUUAUUUAUAGGGAAAAACUAACAUUGGGGUUUAUAACUUUUUCAUAAAUAGACAUACACAAAAUACAGUAAAGUGGGUAUUUACUAUAUAUGGUAAAGUAGACAUUCACUGUAUAUGGUACAUUUAUAACAAGUAAGAACUUGUUAUAGUUAUAAGUUAUAAAUUAUAUUAAGGGUUCGUUUGGUAGAGUGUAUUGAAAAGUUAAUGCAUGAAUUAGUUUAAUGUGUAUUAGUAGUACCUUGUUUGGUAUAUCUUUUUACUCUAUGUACAAUUAAUACUUGCAUUAGUUAUACACUCUAUUGUGUAUUGAAGUGUGUAUUACUAAUACCUCAAAAUUCAUGGCAUUAGUAAUGCAAUGGAUCUAAUGCAUGCAUUAACAUGCCUAACUCAAAAAAAAAAAAAUUCGCAUCCUUUUCAACAUAUAUAUUGAGGGUAUUAUGUAAAAAAAAAACUUUUUUAAGAAAUUAUGUAAUUCAUGUUAUUUUUAAUACAUCAAACCAAACACUGCAUAAGAAAAAUACAAACAUAACUAAUGCAAAGCAUUACUAAUACACUAUAUUUUGCAUUAUUCUUAUACACUCUACCAAACGACCCCUAAUAGUGUGUACGCAUAAUUAUUAUAAUUAUAAGUUAUAAAUUACAUUAACAGUAUGUACGCAUAAAUUAAAAUUGCCAAUGAAUAUAUCUUAAAUAAAUAUAUUUAUCAUUCGCAUGUACUAUAUAGUGAUUGAGAUAUGAAUUUAAAUUUUAUGCAAGUUUAGUGAAUUUAUUUAUAUAUACAUAUAGAGAGUUUAAACCAAAGCUAAUAGUAAUAAAUUUGAUCGAAGCCAAACAAUUAAAUUAUUUCCUCUCCUUAAUGUUGAAUGUCAGGUGAGGUGAGAGUAAAGUUGUGGUUAUACAUUUGUAUAUGUACUGAAUAUGCAUAUUUUUCUUCUUAUAUUGAAGCUUACCCCUUUAAUCAUCUUUAUUGUGAUAAAAACAUUUUCACCCAUAAUUAAUCUCAUUAGUAAAGUCUGAGAAGAAUAAAAUAUACACAAAUCUUACGAAAGAUGAUUUCCGAGAAACAUACCCCUACAAUUUGCUUUAUCAUCUUUAUUGAGUUAAGAAAUCUGUGUACAUACAAAAUUACCUAUACCUUUAGAAGUUGAUUGUUUAACAAGAACUCUAGAUUUUAUUUUAUUUUUAUUUAAAUCAUCCGGUGUCCGGUACCCGCUUUUUAAGAGUCCGACUAUAUCCGAAUUCACCCCGCGUCGGACCCCAUUUGAGGAGGAGAGCUUCCAACAGAGUGUUUGUUCAUAUCCAGGGUCGAACCUUCGACCUCUGGGUAGGUCGGGACAACCCCUUUCCGCUGCGCCACCAUUGCUGGUGGUAACCAGAACUCUAGAUUUAUUACUUACUAAUAAAUGCAUGAAAAUUUAUAAUUAAUAUGACUUAAAACGAAUAGCUGGAGUUUAUUAGAUUGAGUUAUGGAAAUAACUUCUAAACUAGUAUAAAAAAAAAGUAAAUUUUACAUAACAUGUUUACCAUUAAUUACUAAAAAUUCCAACAUCUUUCAAAAUCUCCUAAAAUCUCAACAUUUGACCUCUGAUACAUGUAUCUAAUGUGAUUAACUUGUAUCACAGUAGAUACAUAUAUUAGAUACAUGUAGGGUUAACUUGUAUCUCAGAAAUAGUAAAAAAUAUGAAAUGUUGGGAUUCAAGUAAUUUUUAAGAAGUGGGAUUUUUAGAAGUUUAAAUAGUUAUGAUGUGGUUUUAGGUAAUUUUUCAUUAAAAAAAAUACUUUUGUGAUCCGACUCUUUUAAGAACUCCGCACAUAGCUAGAGCGGCCUUUUUUUGUUGUUCUUUUUAAAUAUGAAUUGCUACCAUGCACUUCUUUCAUCUAUAUUUUUUCUUUUCAUAAAAACUAUGUUGAGGACAAAGGGGGGUAAAUAUUUGCUUAGUGACAGCUACAAUGAUAGUGUCACAUCAGCAUCAUCAAAGAAGAGUUAUUUGUUUUUCAGAUUUUGUGGUCACAAUUCACAUGCAGAAAAUUCAGUCUCUUCUUAGCUAUUUUACUGCAUUUAAGUUUGUAUAAAUGCAUACAUGUGUUUUUGUAUAUCCAAACACAUGUAGACAAGUAGGGCUAAUUUAAGGGGCCAUUGGUUGGACUUCAAUAUAGUGAAAAGUCAGACUGCAUAAAUAAGAUAUAAAUGAUAAUUUUGUUUAUAAAUAAAAUUUUGAGUCAUCUUAUUAAAAGAGAAAUAUAUGUUCAAAUUGCAAUUUAUGGUAUUUUAGAAUUCCUUAUGAGAGACUUCUUAGCUCAACCUCACAAUAUGACAAAGUCUUGCAUGUUGUCAUCGUAUGACAUUUUGAUCAUCACAUAUUUGCUAUUUUUUAUUUUGAUUAUAUAAUCACAAGUAUAAAUAAUUUCAAUUUCACAAAUUAUAUGUUUAUAUUGAAUUCGAAUAUAAGAAUAAAAUUCCAUAUUUUAAGUUUCUAUUGUUUGAAACCUAUUAAACCCUUUCUUCACCCAGAGGUAUUUAUUCUAUUUGAGUUGGAAGUUAUGUAUAUUACUAAGAAGCAACCUGCCAAAAUAAAAAUAAUAAAAGCAACCUUAAAUACUAAAGUGAUGACUUUUUUACACGAUUAAAAUGACAAUCAUAUUUCAAUCCCAGAAAGGUCCGGCGAGAUAAAAUAUAUACAAACAAAAAUAACAGCAUAUUCAGUUAAAUUCACAAAUGAAUAAGAAUGACAAAAUAUUCAAUUAAAUCCACAAAUAAGGUAUGAAAAGGAUAAAAUAUAUGCAGACCUCAUCAUUAUUUCGAGAAGAUAAAGAAGUUUUCGAAAGAUUCACACUUCAUACACAUUUGGUGUGUGGACAAUUUUAAUUUAAGACUCAAUAUUGGGUGAGACAAGUUGUGCUCUGAUACCAUAUAAAAUUAGAUUUUAGGUCUAACUCACAUCCUAAAAACUAAUUCAAAAAAAAAUAAAAUAUUGUCUAAACCUUAUAAAAGACCAUCAGUAACUAUCAAUGGGAGACUUUUUUCUUUCUUAAUAUAAGUGUAAAAAUAGUUCUGCUAAAUACUAUUUAAUUCUUAAAUAAAUUUUAUUAAUUCAAAUAUAAAUUAUCGAGGUACUAAGGACCUCUUUGAUCCUACAGGUAUUCACUUUAUUUUAAAAUAUAUAUUGAUUAUUUUAUUUUGAAUUUUUUGUUUGGUCAUAAAAAUAUCAAAUACAACUCAAAGUUAUAUUUGUGAUAUUAAAAAUCACCUCAACACUAUUGGGUACAAGAUUGAGAGGACGUCACGAGGAAACUUAGAGUUUGCAAAUCAACACGGUCAUAAUUCAGAUGACAAAUAAAAAUAUACUAAAAAAUAUAUUAUUGAUGUUAUUUGAUCAAUUGGCCUACACAUUAAAACCAAUAUUAGAAAAAACAUAAAACUGUUGAGAGAAAAUCCCCCCUAAAUAAGACUCGUAAAUGACUACAUUAUAGAUGUUGUUGUGUUAUGGUAUGCGAAGAGGGGUGUUCUAUUUAUAAAGUUCCAAAACUUUUCUUCCAAAAAAGAGAUUUGCCAAAUAUGGAAAAGUUCUAUAUUUUUCUGAAAUUUUCCUUUCAAGAAAAAUAAAAGUAAUUAUGGUAAAACUUUUAUUUUCCUUUCAAGAAAAAUAAAACUUAAACUUAGUAAGAAAAUCAGGGCAAAACCCCUAACAAAUCUCUCAUUUUUUGGCUUGAUUUUCUUGACAUAAUUUGAUCCUUCUUCUUCAUGUGCACGAUCUUCGUUCUUUACAUAAUCUUCAUCACUGCUGCUUGUCAUAAUUAAAAAUAAAGUUUAAAAUAUUAUGGGUUAAAAAUUGAUUUUACUUUUAAAGAUGCAACAGCAUGAAUAUUGAAAAUAUACUCUAAAUUCCUUCUCCACGUAGCUAGACAAUUUUUUCAUUAUCAUCAAAUUGAUUGCAAAUUGAUUAGAACCGCCUUGAAUUUGUCUUCAACCUCGUUUUACCAAACCGCUAGAUCUUUAAACCGUAGGCUCUGAUACCACUUGUUGAGUUCGAAAUUGAAAGUGCGUCAUGCGGAAGCUUCGAGUUUACAAAUCAAGACGGUCAUAAUUCAGAUGACAAAUAAAAAUAUGCUUAAAAAAUAUAUUAUUAAUAUUAUUUGACUAAUUGACCUACACAUUAAAACUAAUAUUAGAGAAAAUAUAAAAUUAUUGGAAGAAAAUCUCCCCCUAAAUAAAACUCUUUAAUGACUACAUUAUAUAUGCUACUGUGUUAUGAUAUGAGAAGAGGGGUGUUCUAUUUAUAGAGUUUCAAAACUUUUUCUCCAAGAAAAAAGUUUGCGAAUUAUGAAAAAAUUUUAUAUUUUCCUUUUAGGAAAAGUAAGAAUAAUUAUAGUAUUACUUUUAUUUAUUUUUUCAAGAAAAGUAAAGGUUAAAUUUGAUAAAAAAAAAUUAAGGUAAAAAACCCGAACAAACACUUUAUUUGAUGUCACUUUUCUUUUUUUAUAAAUAAACUCUAAAUUAUUUUUUAUUAAAUAAUCUUAUUUGAAUUAUAUUUUAUAUAUCUUUUAAGAAUAUAUUUAAAUUUUAAAUAUUAUACUACUAAAUUCAACUUCAAUUUUAAAAUAUUAAAUAGACUAAAAAUAUUUUUAAAUUUAUGAUGAAACGCCUCCUAAUACAAGUAUCUUAACGUCGGCCAGAAAGAGUAAUGGAUGAUGAGUUACGAUAACAUUGCUAACAAAGACACCCCACGAGUUGGCUUUCCCUUAUUUUAACUUCUGCAAAAUUUAUCACUUCUUUCUUCUUAACUUUACAGGUCUCCCACCUGCCCCCACCCCAACCCCCUAAUCUGCCACCAGUCAGUUCGAAAUUUGACCCCCAAACCCAUCCUCUUUUAGCCCCCACCCUCCUUCACCAGCUACACUUAUACUGAUUCUCUUCUUGUAGGCACCCACACCGACUCUUCCUCUUUCUGUUCUUCCACAAAGUUGAAUUAAAGCGAAGAAAAAGAGAAACCCCACUACUUGUCCACUUGUUCUCUUUUGGCUCAAAAAGUUUUGCAAUACUCUCACCAACUAUUACUUGGGUCAUUUUUUUUCUGCUGGUUGGAGUUUCUAAUUCUUCAAUAGCCAAUCGGAUAAAAUCUUUGUUAGGCCCUUCUCCUUGCCCUCACCCCACUUCACCACCCACCCAAUUCCCCACCCGCUGCCUACUCUUCAAGUUUUCUUUUUCAAGAUGGAAUUUAGAGACUCGCAUAACGAAAACCAAGAUGGUGGCAGCAGCAAUAAUAACAAUAAUACCAACAACAACGACAAUAAUAACAAAGCACUUUCUACCGUAGUUGUUAAGAAGCCAUCUAAAGACCGUCACACCAAAGUUGACGGUCGAGGACGGCGCAUACGGAUGCCAGCUUUAUGCGCAGCCCGAGUUUUCCAACUCACGAGAGAGUUAGGUCACAAGUCUGAUGGCGAAACUAUUGAGUGGCUUCUACAACAAGCUGAACCGUCUAUUAUUGCUGCAACAGGAACAGGUACAAUUCCAGCAAAUUUCUCAACUCUUAACAUUUCUUUACGGAGCAGUGGGACAACAAUUUCAGCUCCGCCGUCGAAAUCCGCACCGCUUUUCAUCCACGGUGGCGCCACCACUAUGCUAGGUUUCCACCACCAGCUUCCGGGGAGCACUUUUGGCCAAGACCCAGAUGAGAAUUUCAUGAAAAAAAGGUACAAGGAAGAUACAGCUGGAGCAGGAGCAACUUCACCAUCAUCUUCAUCAGCUAAACCGGAAAGAACCGGAGUUCAAGGUACUGAACCGGAUCAAGAAUCAAAACCCGGUUCAUCUAGCUACAUACCGGCUCCAGCUAUGUGGGCGGUUGGACCGGCAGCCGGUAACGUAGGGAACACGUUCUGGAUGUUACCGGGCACGUCAUCAACCAUGCAGAGAAUUGGCGGGUUUGAAUUACCAGGAGGUGGCCGGUUCAGUCCGGUUCAACUAGGAUCAAUGUUUUUAGAGCAACCACAGCCGGUUCANNNNNNNNNNNNNNNNNNNNNNNNNNNNNNNNNNNNNNNNNNNNNNNNNNNNNNNNNNNNNNNNNNNNNNNNNNNNNNNNNNNNNNNAGCAGCUGGGGUUAGGUGUCACAGAGACAAAUAUGGGAAUGUUGGCAUCUAUGAAUGCAUAUAAUAAUAAUAAUAAUAAUAAUAAUAGUAGUAGUAGGGGUAGUGGGAUUGAUUUGGGCAUGAAUUUGGAGCAACACCAUCAUCAUCAUCAUCAAAAUCAGCCACAAAAUAGUGACAGUGGUGAUGAAAAUCACAAAGAUUCUCAAUCAUGAUUCCAACAUUGAUGCCAUUUGGAUAAAUUCAUGAUGUUUAUUUUAAUAAUUUAAUGUAGUUAGGAGAGAAUUGCUUGUGGUCAUUGUAAAUGUUUUAUUUUCAGUGUUAUCUUCACUCAUUUUUAACGUUUUUUUUUUCUUGGAGAGGAAUUGGAAUUGCAGUUUUAAUAGCUUAUUAGUUGAUGGACUACUUGAACUUUAUUAAUAAAGAUUCGAUCUUUCACUUUCUAAAAGAAUCGAAGUUAUAGUCUAAUAGUUGCAAUUUCACCCUGCCUCUUUUACAUGUUUCUUUUUAAGAACCGUCUUAAUUUGUUUACAUAUAAUUUUUUGAGCUGAGGAUCUAUUGUCGAAAGCAAUAUGUCUUUUCAUAAGAUAGAGGUUGAAUCAGCAUGCAUUAUGUUGAAACAUAAUUGAGUAUGUUGUUGUUGGGUGGCCAAAUGGUGACAUGCACUUGUUUUUGAUUGAAAGUAAUGGGUGAUUAAAUUCAUUUUGAAACAAUAACACAACAAAAAUGCCUAAUUUAAUAAUGUACCUCUAAAAUGUUCAUGCUAAUUGAUGGAGUCAAGUCUUCCCCAAAAGGUCCUCCUUUCUUGUCUUCCAAGCUGUACAGUGUACAUCAUAUCAUUGAGAGAGAGAUUGACAUAUAUUAUUCUAAAGAACUUAAAAGAUAUCAUGUUCAAAUUUAUUAUUAAAUUAAAUUAUUUUACUGUCGAAAUUCAAACGAUGCCACGUAAAAUAGAGUAAUCAAAUAGUUUGAGUACUGAUUUCUAUGUUUGCAUUCAUAUAGUAUAUGGACUAGUUUUUUUUUUUUUUUUUUUGAAUAAUAGUUUGAUUGGUUCUCAUUUCUUUCCUAUGUUACUAUUUAUAAUAUUGGGUUGAAAAGAAUGGUCAUUUAGCACUUGAAUUGUCAUUAUCAUGAUAAUCAAAUUAAGAGAAACCAAACAGUAUCACUAGGCCUAAUGUGCCAAUGUCAUGACUAGAAAUGUUUUAGGAUGUGAAAUGCAAGAUAAAUGACAUGUCGAGUGCAAGGCCGAUAUUUAGUGACAUGAUAAGUUGAAUAUGUCAAUGUCAUAAGUAGAAAUUGUUUUGGAUGUGAAGUGCAAGACCAAUGACUUGUGACAUUGGCCAUUGGUGACCCUAUAGGAAUUGGAAAUGAUUAUUUUGUUAGGUGAAUAUGCUACGAGGGUCAUGCACCCAAGCUUUUAAAACUUCACUUAAAUUCAUUGUCCAAAAAAAAAAAAAAAAAAAAAAAAGGAGAAGAAGAAAAAAUAAUAAAAAUGAUCUUUAAAUUUGAUAGUAGAUUUAAAAUAGCCUCUCAAGUAUUAUUUGAGCAAUUUCGAUUUGAUAUCCGUUGGAUAUUUAUCAUUUGAUUCCUAAAUUUAGUUUGAAUGGUGAAAAUAGAAAAGGAAACUCACAUUUGAAAGUACAAGUUGGGCAGUAAUUAUGUUGUUUGUUGGUUUGACUUUUUUUUUUUUUUUUUUUUUUUUUUUUUUUUUUUUUUUUGUCUAUGUAAUCUUUUAUGUUUUGAUUUAAAUAUUAAAUUUCUGACGUUCUUGGCUAAUUCGAUUUUCACAUUUUCAGUUAAAUUUAACAAAUGAAAUUUGAUAAACAUUUGAUGGAAAUCAAAAGUAAUUACUUUUGACAAAUUUAAAAGAUUAAAACUGCUUAGAUAACACUUAAAAGACUAUUUUAAACCUAACCUAUCAUCAAAUAUAUAUUUGAACCUACCAUCAAAUACUUAAAAUUAAGAGGCCAUUUUUGUCAUUUUCACUCAAAAGAUCCUUGCAGUUAAAGAAUGAGUGUACGUUUCUAAUAUAAAUUGUUUUCCUUUUCUUCUUCAUCUUUUUUAUUUGCAAAAAGAAUAAAUGUAGAAUAUUCCUUGAACUAUAAACAUCAUUUUUUCUUAUUGGUUCUUCAUGACCUAAUUAUCCAAGUUACUUAUAAAAAAAAAUAUUAUCCAAUUUAAAUUUUAGAAUAAGCUAUUCUUGAACAACCUUUUCCCCUUGUUCUUUAUGGAUUUCUGCUUCCCUCUGUCUCCCAAGUCCCACCAUCAUUGCCUUUUUUGUGUUAUGUCCCAACCAAACCACUAGAGAGUGGGAUAUUAUGAACCAAAAUUUCAAUGAAGGUUUUUACAAUUAUUUCACCAAAAAUUUUAAACAUCGAAAAGAAUAUAAAAAGCAAGAGCAAAAAAUUCCUCUCUACUUUUUUGGUUACUCCGAUUUCUUCGUUUUAAUUUAUUCGUCCUAUUUUAACUUAAUGGUAGAUUGAAAAAAUAAAGAGAAUUUUUGAAAUUUAUGGUGUUAAAUUACAGAUAUGUCAAAUACUUAAAUGUGCUAAAAUAUUCUUUAAUUUUGUGAUCAUAAACAUAUUAUGUGAAAAAUUAAAAUUAAAAAAAAAUAGGAUAAACAUAUUAAAACUGAAAAAAAAUAAAAUUCUUUUGAGUGCUUGAUUAUAAAAGAAGCAUUGGAUACAUGCUGUCCUGGUUUAGUUAACUGUCUCAUAUGCCUUUUUACCUAAUAGGAUGAGGUUUUUCAUCUUUUAAAUAUUAAUAUAGCAUAGAAUAAAAGGUCUUUCAUCUAAAUUGAUUCCUUCAAAAUUCAUAAAAAAAAAUAAAUUAAAAUCGAAUAAUUCAAUUUAUCUUCCACUUGCACCACAAGUAGCAUCAUGGCCAAAAACGGUGGGAAUCUCUUCAUUUUUUAAUUGUCGUCUGCCUUUACUCAACAACGUACAACAACAUAUAUAUAUCAAUGUAUUUUUAUAAGUGAAGUCUGAGAAGGAUAUAUAGAAUAUAUCGAUUUUAUUUUUAUUUCGUUAAGAUAGAGAAAUUAUUUUUAAAAUAACAUCGACUUAAAUACUGCAUGACAAAACAGUUGAAAAAGCGAAUACAACACCUAGGCAUGAGCAGGCAAUUAAUUAACAAGUUAAAGAAAAUAAUACUUACUACAACUAGCAUUUAUAUAUACUAGUUUGAUCGCACGAACCUUGCACGUGUAACUUUUGAUUAUUUAAAAUUAAAAUUUUAUCUAUUGCAAAUGUUUUUAAUGACCUGCAAAAAGUUCAAAUCACAUCUCCAAAAUCUUUCACACUUUUAAUAUAAUAAUGUAAACAUAACUUACAUGUAUAUUUUACCAUCAGAGUUUAAGUGAUUAAUGAAUCGUCACUUUUGCGCUCGUCAUGCAUUAUUUCUUUUUCUUAUUGCUAGAAGUUAAGAGAGAUGCGUUGAUUUGAACCAUAUUUGUAGUACGCUAUUUUUAUUUAUUUUUUCUAUAUUUAAAAUAUUUUUUUAUUUUAAAGUUAAAUUUUUAGAAAAUCUUUGAUUACUUACUUAAAACUUGUAGAAAUUUGAUAUUUCUUAUAUUUUUCUUUUUUAAUACUUUCAUAUUUUUUUUCUAAAUUUUCCAGAUCUUCUUAAAAUCAACUUUAGUUAAUUUAGAAUUUUAAACUAAUGAAAAAGAUAUUAGUUGUCAUUAAUUAUGAUGACUUCUAAUUAAUAAAGAAAGGCUUUACUAUAAAUAAUUAGUUAAUUUUUAAUUCUUAAAUAUUAAAAAAUAGUGAAAAGACUAUUUAAUCUAAAACUGAGAUCGAAAUUCUAAAAUUUAGAAUUUGUUCAAAUAAGGAAAAUUUCAAUAACCAAAAUUUAUUAGGACAAAAAUUUAAAUUAGAAUUUUAUUUGGUAUAAAUAAAAGUUUAACUACCUAUCAUAAUUUUUUUUUUUGAGAUGAAAAGGCUUAAAAAAAAACUCUUGGGACUUUUUCUCUUUAAAAUUGUGUCCUUUUAAAAGGAAUUAAUUCCUAAUAUCCAUCUUUUCUUUUGGGUGUCCUAAAUUUUUUUCUAAUAUUUAGGAAUAAUAAUUUUUCUACUAUUUAUAUAUGCUAAAAGAAACCUUCCAACAUAUAUAUUUUAGGAGUCUCCAUUAAUUAGAUUUUAUCAUAUAUUCUUCCUAUACCAUAUAUUUUAGGACUCUUCCUAUAUACUUUAGGAGUUGAUAUUAUAUAAAUUAUCCGGAUUAGCCACUAUUGAGCUUUUAUUACCACUUAAUGCCUAAUUUUCAAUUAAUUACAAUUCAUAGCCCCUCUUACCAAUUAAUUAUUCUUAAUUACAAUUCGUAGUUUUUCUCAUGUAUUUUCUCUCUUUUCCUAUUUUCUAUUAUUCUCUUCUUCUUUUUUUUCCUUUUUCAGCUUUUUUUUUUCUUCCGUUUUUUCUUUUCUUUUUUUUGUUGCCUUCUCUUUAUUUUUUAUUUUUUCACUUUUUUCUUUUUUUUUAAAAAAAAAAUAUUCAUUUAUUUUUGUAGCCUUACAGUUACACGCUAGUACAAUCAUAAUUGUAGCCUAAAUCAUAUUUUCUUUCUAUUUUUUCAUCUUUUUCUAUAUUUCUUUUUUUCUUGCAUUUUCUUUGAUUCUUUUUUCGUUAUUUUUUAUUUUUUGGGUCAUUUUUAUCUUUUUUUAUUUUUCUAUAUUUUUUCCGUUUGUUGUUGCAUUUUAUAUUUUAUGUUUUAUAUUUUUUUGUAUCAUACUAUGUAUUUUAAAUAAAUUUAUUAUUUGUAGUUGAAUAGUUUAGUUGUGAAUAUGUAUAAUUUAUCAUUCGUAUUUUGUAUAUAAAUAAGUAUAUUGAUUAAUUGUAUUUGCUUGAGACUAAAAUACAUAAAUAUACAAUUUGUCUUUCAAUACAAAUAUAUCACUGUGUUUCGUAUUUCAAAUUUAUCAUUUAUAUUUGUAUAUAAACAAGUAUCGUUUUGUAUGCAUAUGGUUCAAGUUGUAUAAACAUGUGUCAUUGAUACAGAUGUAACAUUUGUAUUUGUAUAAUUUAUUAUUUUUAUUUUUAUUAUGAUGCAAAUUGAAUCAAUAAAUAUAAAUACAAGUCUUAAUAGAAAGAAAAAUAACAAUUUUUUUCUAAUGUUUAAAGAUACAAAUGAUGUUGUCAACUACAAAUUCAAAUACAAACAAAUGAAAUUACAAAUACAAAUGCAAUAUAUGAUCAACUUAUAAAUAUAAAUAUAAAUAUAAAAUAAUUCUUUUAAAAUACAAAUACAGCGAUGAAAAUAGAAUCCAAAUUGUACAUAGUCACGGUUAAAUACAAUAUGAAUAAACUUACAAAUACAAAAUAAUUCCUUAGAAAUAAAAAGAUAUCGACGAAAAUAGAAUACAAGUACAAAUAUAAUCUAAAUAUGCAAACAUAAUAAAACCACAAUACAAAUAUAAUCCAAUAUAAUAUAGAGUCAAUUAUAAAAUACAAAUACAAAAUAAUUUUAAAAUACAAGUGCAUAUCAUAUAAAACAUAAAUGAGGGUGCGAACUAAUAAAUACAAAUACAAGUGCGAACUAUAAAAUACAAAUACAAACAUGAACUUUAAAAUACAAAUACAAAUACAAUUGUAUCAACGAAUACAAAAAUAUAAAUGAAGGUGUGACUACAAAUAUGAUAAAUAAUUAUGUUAUUUACGUUAUCAUCCAUGACUUGUGCUCGAGUAAUCAUUAUUUUCAAAAAUACAAAAAAUAUAAAAUAGAAUAAAAAAAAUGAUAAAGAAAAUAUUGUACAACAAAAUAAAAAAAGAAAAAAGAAAAGAAAUGAAAGUUAGAGAUAGAAGAGAGAAAAAAAUUAAAAAAAAUUGAAAAAAUUGAAAAAGAAGAAGAAAAAACGAGGAAAACACGACAAAAGAAAAAAUAUAAGAAAAUGAAAAAGAAAAAAAUGAUAGUAUUUUUUGCGAGACUAAAUAUGUAGUGUAUUUAUGUUUUUAUGAAUACAGACCAUUAAGUAAAAGUGAAUAUAGCAGUUGUGAAUCAAUUACAACGGCUAAAUAGGAACUGUAUUCAUAUUUUAUAUGAAUACAUACUAUCUGUAAAACUGAAUAUAGCGGGCGUAAAUCGAAUACAACGGCUAUAAAUGGUAAUUAUGUAAAAUGUAGCUAUGGAAGGUGGGUUUUAUAGCAAAAUGCUGCUAUAUUUUAAAGAUCCCCUAUUAUGAUACAAUAAUUGUAGAAAAAAAAUUGAAAAAGCAAUUUUAUCUAAAUAGUUAUCAUAUAUUCUUCUAUACCAUAUAUUUUAGGACUCUUCCUAUAUACUUUAGGAAUUGAUAUUAUAUAUAAUAAUGAUACAAUAAUUGUAGAAAAAGAGUCAAAGACAAUUUUGUCUAAAGCGAAGUGUUUUAAUAAAGGGCAAAAAUUCAAUUCAGAGUAUUCAAACUUUUAAUAUACUAUAGAUAGAUUAUAGAUUAUAGAUGUAGAUAGAUUAUAGAUAUAUUAUAUUACAUAAGCUUAUAAUACGUAUAUUGUCACGCUAAUUAAUAUAAGUAAUAAACUAAUUUACUAUAUAUAAUAAGUGGGGAUAAGCACACACCUCUUCAACAUGUGUGUGCAUAGUAAUUACUUUAUUGUUGAGGGCUUUUUAAACAUUUUAGUUAAAGUUUUAUGCAAUAUCUUGUUCGAAUGUUUGGCUUCAAUGUUUGAUGGCGAACUUCAAAUGACCAAACUAUUCAUCAACUUUCUUUUAUUAUCAACAUUGUCCUACCUUUUUACAACAUGACCCAAUAAGAAUAUCUCUGUAAAUAUGACAAUAACAACACAAUGUUAUUGGUCGUAAAAGAACUUUACUGUAGCUUCCAUAUUAACUUUUGCAUGUUUUGAUCAUUUUAUCUUCUUGCAUAUAUCAUCAAUCAUCACCAUUCAUCCUCUUUCAAAGCAUCCCAUUAUUCAUUUACUAUUUACUUCGUAAUUUUAUUAUAUCAUUCCUAAUUAAUUAUUAUAAAUUAUCUAUACAUUAAAAUAUUAAUAAUAUUUAAUUAAAAAAAUAAAUAUUUAGGACAUAUCUUCUUAAACUGUUUCAACCGUAAUUUUAACAAAUAUCAUUCCUAGUUAAUUAUUAUAAAUUAUUUAUACAUUAAAAAAUUAAUAAUAUUUAAUUAAAAAAUAAACAUUUAGGACAUAUCUUUUUAAACUGUUUCAAUCACAAUUUUACUAAACAUCAUUCCUAAUUAAUUGUUAUAAGUCAACUAAGUAUUAAAAAAUUAAUAAUAUUUAAUUAAAAAAAGUGAAAUAGACAUUUAUGACAUGUUCACUUCAGCUACUUCAAUCAUAUUUUUACUACAUCACUCCUAAGUAAUUAUUAUAAGUCAUCUAAGCAUUAAAAAAUUAAUAUUAUGGUCUUCUAAAUGUUGUACCACUUAAAUUGGAAUAGAAUAAAAAGUAUUAUAAAUCACAAAAGUAAGAAACUUAAAUUAUUUAAAAAUAUAUACAAUUGACUAUCAAUGCCACAAAAGUUUGGACAAGGAGAGUAACAUAUAUUAUUUGAAAAUUACAUCAAAAGUAUUAUAAAUUACAAUAGUUAACAACUUAAAUAUGUAAAAAAAAUAUUACUUGUAAUAUAUUUAAAAAAAAUACGUAAAAAUGCUAUAAAUCACAAGAAUUAUUGCUGACUCUAGAAAUUAUCCCAGUGCCACUUAAGUUGGAAUAAGAAAGAAAAGUAUUAUAAAUCACAAUAAUUAAAAUUUUAAAUUAUUUUAAAAAUAUAAUUGAUCAUCAAUGCCACAAAAGUUUGGACAAAAAGAGUAUCAUAUCUUAUUUAAAAACUACGUAAAAAAUAUUAUAAAUUAAAAUAGUUAAUAAUUUUUAAAAUCUAAAAAUAUAAUUAAUUAUCUAAAUUCUAUUUGUGUCACGUAAAUCCAGAUAAAAAACAACAUAUAUUGCAUGGUCCAAGAAUCACUUUCCAAUACUAGCUGAUUUAUAGACUUCCUUUUGCAAUAUUUUAGACACUCCUUGAUAGCCAGUGCUUCUGUCUCCAAACUUGUGGUAUCUCUGAUUCUAUUGCCUUAAGCCACCCACCACUAGAUUACCAUGUUGAUCCCUUAUACAAAAUAUAAUGGAACCAGGACUAGGAUUUCCUUCUGAUGCACCAUCUGUUUCCCUUUUAGCCAACUAGUCUCAGGAGGACUCCAAUCAAUCAUCUUAAAAGAGAUAGAAAUUUUGACUAAUUGCAAUUCAUCCAUUAUUCUGACCCAAUCUAUUCCUGAAAAAUCAAGAUAAAAUCUUACUUUUAUAAAUUUCAAAAGAGUAUCAUUAAUCUCCCAAAAUAACUUUACAAUAGUAUAGGUCCACCAUGCCUAAUAGUAUUCCUUCUUUUCCACAAAACCAUAGAAUUACAGUUGGCAUAACUUUAUCCACAGUAGUUACUCUAGAAUUCUCACUUUGCUUUCUCCACAUUCUGACACUUUGUUUCAAAUUUAAUUUUGCUUUCUUAUACCUGCACUUGCAUAGUAAUGAUCCCAUAUCUUAACAACAGUUUCACCUCAAUGAAAAAGAUGCGAGAUUGUUUCUCUUCUGGGGGUAUCACAGCAAACAUAGUUCUCAAACACUUCAGAAUUCCAACUAUGCAUUAAAUAAACAACUGGAAUCAAACCUUUCCGAAUUCUCCAUGUUAAGAAACAUAAUUUAAAUGAUAUCCCUUAAAUCCAUAUUGCUUUAAGAUCCUUAUCCUCAUCUUCUUUAUGUCUUAGAACUUCCCAGGCAGUUCUUGGAGAAAAUCUGCCAUUGCAAUACUUAGUCCACCAUGGGUUAUCCAUUGUCUCCAUAACAUACAAUAUUCAUAUAUUCUCUGAACACAGUAGAUGUUCCACCUCUAGGCUCCCACCAUAUGAAUUCCUCAAUCUUAUCUCUAUUUUCCAGCAUGACCUUCCACACUUGGGACCCCCCUAUUACACCAUUAUAGGUAACUAUUUUUUACAAUACUUGUUCCACAUAAAAUUUGUCCAUAAGUUAUUUUGAGUUCUGAACCUCCAACAUAAUUUAGCAUGCAUUGCCUUAGCAACCUUUAUUAGGGAUCUAAAUCUCAACCCUUUUUUCUGUUUGGGUAAUGGCAACUUGUUUCAAGUAACCUAAUGCUUCUUCCUUCCUAUCUUCUUAGUCUGCCAGAGGAAUUUUGCAAAUAUUCUUUGCAACUCUUUAAAAAUACUUUUAGGUGAAACCAUUGUUCAUAAAAUAUAAAUAAGGAUACUCUAAAGCACACUUUUUAUAAGAACAUCUUUUCCACCGAAGGAUAAUAACCUACCUUUCAAUUUUUGAAGCUUAUUUUGAACUUUAUCAAUUAGUUCAGAAUAUUGCACUUUGUUGUUCUUAUAAUAUGAUAAUGGACAGAAAAGAUAAUUUAAGGAAAAAAUCCUCUGUUAAAUCCAGUAGCUUGUUCAACAUUCAUUAACACGCUUGUUAAAGUAUUCUGAUGCACGUGGUAAAAGCUCUUAUCCAUAUUUAUCUUUUGACUAGAUUCUAACUCAUAUUCCUUUAAUACCUUCAUUAUCUUCUUAACUAAAUACUCAUUAGAAGAUGUGAAAAUAUUAGUAUCAUCAGUAUAUGGAAGAUAAUUCAACUCAGGGCUCCACUUUGGCAUUCCAUAAUCAAUAAAAGCAAGAUCUUCAAAAACUUGAUUAAGAGAUCUUGUCACUACCUCAACUGAUAAAAUAGUGUAGGGGAUAGAGGGUCCCCUUGUUUAACUCCUCUAGUAGAAUGGAAAAAAUCAAUAGAUUAGCCAUUCAGUAAGACAGAAUAGUAGUUGUUAGAUAAAAGUCUCCAGAUAAUAUCAACCACUGAAUUAGAGAAUCCCAUUUUCACAACACCUUCAUCAAGAAGAGCCAGGAUAUCCUGUCAUAGGAUUUAGCCAUGUCAAGUUUUAGAAAUUACUUUAGAAGGCUUUUAACUUUUUCCCAUAUUAGUAAUCAGCUCCUAAAGUAGAAGAACAUUCUAUACAAUACUUCUUCUUUAAUAAAUCCAGACUAAUUAAGAGAUAUCAAAUUUGGUAAAAUACCCACCAGCCUAUCAUGAAUAAUCCUAGAUAGGAUUUUAUUGAUAAAAUUACUAAGACUAAUUGGUCUUAAAUCUGAAAAGGAUUGCAUAUUAUCCUUUUUAGGAAUGAGAAUCAACUUAGUUUGAGUAAUGGAUUUUGGAAGGUUAUUACCUGUAAAGAAGCUUCUCACUAGCCUAACUACAUCUCCACCAAUGAUGUCCCAGGAUACCUUAAACAAUCUACCUGUUAUUCCAUCUGGUCCAUUAGAAUUGUCCCAUUUAGCUUAAAAGUUGCCUUCUUAAUUUCCACCUCAUCAGGUUUGGCCUAUAACAUUUCAUUUUCACUAUUAGAAAUUAGCUUUGGGAUCUUAUUCAGUAGUGAAAAUUUAGUUGCAUAUCUCUCCUGGGUGAAUUGUUUAUGGUAGAAUUUUAUGGCCUUAUCAACAAUUUUCCCUUAUUCUUCUAACCAAAAACUAUUCUCCUUUAGGAUUUUAGACAUCCUUAAUUUAUUUCUUCUCCCUUUGACUGUGUUAUGAAAAAAUAUAAUAUUCCUGCCACCACUUUUAAACCAAUCAUACCAAGCUUUCUGCUGCCAGGAGCAUUCCUCUAAUUUAAGAUAUUUAAUAUAUUCAUCCCUAACCUUUUGCAUCACAAUGUUGUUCACAAAAGUAUGGUUUUCCUCAAACAACAAUCUUCUAUCUAAAAAUCAGCUGCUGAAAAUGUCUCCAACAGUUUGUUUGAUCCACACUGUAAGAGUUUUCUUGUCUUUUUUGACCUUCCUUUUAAAAUCAUUAAAAGGAUUAACAGAAUAGUCUAAACCCCAAUUCAUUAUGACUAUCUCUUUAAUCUCUGGGUGGCCAGUCUAGAAAUUCAAAAAUUUGAAUGAUUUUUAAAGCACAACAUAAGAAUUCUCACAUUUUAGAUGUAAAGGGGCAUGAUCAGAACCAUCUCUGGCUUGAUGAUCCACUUCCAUCAAAUUAAACUUAUUCUAAAAAUCUUCAUUAACAAACAACCUAUCAAGUUUUUCAAAUAUGCAAUCGUCCCCAGAUCUUCUAUUUCACCAAGUAAUGGGGUUGCCUUUAUUAAUAAUUUGUGUGAUAUCACAAGCCUCAAUGCAAUCUCUAAAGUCUUCUACAUCUGCUGCAACUAUUUUUUUUUUGAAAAAUGGUACUGUUAUAUUCCUCCCUCAGCAGUAAAGAAUGCUGAACACCUGCAAAAAUAGUUACAAAAGAGAACUUAGAGUGUAGAAUUACAAUGCUCCUAAGAAAUCUAAAAAUUCGUCUACGUCCUCUAUACAAUUCUCCUUACACCAAAAAAAUAGUGUGACAAGACAAUUCCAUUUUACAUCAUUAAUGGACCUGACUUUGUCUUCGAAACAUCUUCCAUUUCUUUCUGUCCAUACUGACCACCAAAUGCAGGAGGGUAUCAUCCUCCACCACAUCUUUUGACUCUUGCUACCACCUCCUCUGAUCCAACAACUUAACAAAUCAGUUGUGUGCUCAGGCAUUAUCCAUUUCAAUUUAGUGAGGGUGAAAAAUAAAUGCCAAAGUUGAGCAGUAAAUUUGCAGUGUAGAAAUAAGUGGUUAUUUGUUUCCCGGUUUCAUUGCAUAAAAAACAUCUAGGAACUAGUGUCCUUCCCUCCUUCUGGAGAACUUCUUGAGUGAGACAUGCCCUUCUGACCAUUAGCCAAGUUAAAUAUUUCACUCUAGUAGGAACUUGAAUCUUCCACAGGGGUUUCUAGAGCUUUGAUACUUCCCCCUGUACUGAGUUGUUUUCCUUCUUGUAGAGUCUAUUCACUGUGAGAAUGCCAUCUUCUGUGUGUUUCCAUCUUAGAGAAUCUGAAUUAGUGGUUGUGCCCGUGAAGACUUCUAGCACAUUCAACAUGUUUGUCACUCUGUCCACUUCCCAAUCAUUGAGAUGUCUUCUGAAUGUGAGGUUCUAACCUUGAGGAGACCAACAUUCCAACACUGUAGCUUCAAUGUUGCUACUUAGAAGCAUCAAGUCAGGAAAGGAUUCUUGGAGAGUUGAUUGGCCUAUCCAGUGGUCUUUCCAGAAGAGAGUUUUGUGAUCAUUUCCUACUCUUAUUCUGGUAUGUCUAUGCAAUUUUGCCCAAGAUGAUCUGAUUGCUCUCCACACACCAACCCCAUAAGUGUUAUUGACCUCAUUUGUGACCCAAUGACUUUCUUGGCCAUAUUUGUAAGAAAUGACCUCUUUUAAGAGAGAAGCUUCCAUAUUAAACCUCCAUAACCAUUUCAUGAGGAGACACUGGUUGUGUAACUUUAGGUUUCUAAUGGAUAAUCCUCUCUGGUUCUUGCUCAGCUGAGUUACUUCCCAUUUCACUAAAUUGUAUCCUCCACCUUCCUUGUUUUCUUUCCAUAAAAAAUCUCUUCUAAGUCUGUUUAACUUCUUGGAUACACUAGAGGGGAUAGGGAACAAAGACAUCACAUAGGUGGGGAGGGAGUCCAAAAUAGAGUUGAUAAGAGUGACUCGUCCCCCAAGUGACAAGUACUGAGCUUUUUAUUGAGAUAGUUUUUUCAUUGUCUUCUCUAUGAUCUUGUCCCAGAUUUUUACAUCUUUGUACUUGUUACCAAGGGGCAUGCCUAGGUAGACAGUAGGGAGAUUGCCUACCCCACAACCAAGAAUACCAGCAAGAGUCUGAAUAUUGUUCACUUUUUUGAUAGGGAACAAAUUAUUUUUCCUCAAAUUUGCCUUCAAACCAGACACAGCUUCAAAAACAACCAACAUCACUCUGAUAUGUUUGACUUGCUCUUCUAUCGCUUCACAAAAGAUUAAAGUGUCAUCUGCAUAGAGCAAAUGACAGAUCUCCAAAUUACCCAUGCCUUGGCUGUUUAGCUUGAAACCCCUAACCCAAUUAUUUUGAAGAGAUGUUCUAACUAUACUGUUGAGACCUUCCAUGGUGAGGAUAAAAAGGAAGGGGGAGAGAUAGUAUCCUUGCCUGAGACCCCUUUCAGAGGGAAAAAAUCCAACAGGUUCUCCAUUUACCAGAGUGGAGAAUCUAAUAGUUUUAAUGCAAAAACUUAUCCACUUCAACCAUUUAUCCCCAAAUCCCAUUUGAUUGAGGAUGUUAAGGAGAUUGUCCCAGUUGACAUGAUCAAAAGCUUUCUCAAUAUCUAGUUUGCACAUUAAGCCAACCACUUCUCCUCUAGUUCUUGUGUCAACACAUUCACUUGUUAUUAAAGUGGCAUCCAUUAUUUGUCUCCCCUUGAUGAAGGCCAUUUGGUAUUUGUUAACCAAACCGGCUAUCACCUUUUUCAGUCUCUCAGCCAAAGCUUUGGCCAAUAUUUUGUAAACCCCAGAGAUCAGGCUAAUUGGCCUGAAAUCUCUUAAUUCAGCUGCUCCUACUUUCUUGUGAAUGAGGGCCACAUAAGUGGCAUUCAGACUUUUUUCAAACACUUGGUGGUCGUGAAAAUAUUGCAUAGUUCCCAUGAUAUCCCCCUUGAUCAACUCCCAGAAGGUCAGGUAGAAAUUAAUUGGAAAUCCAUCAGGCCCAGGGGCCUUGUCAGUAGCACAUGACCUAAUAGCCUCUAGGAUUUCCUCUUCAUCAAAGUUCUUUUGCAGCCAAAUUUGGCCUUCUGUGGAGAUUACUGUUGCAUCAUGGAUUUUAAAUUCAGGUCUCCAGUCCUCCGUCUCUUUGUAUAGAUUCUAGUAAAAAGCUUGAGCAGCAUUUUUAAUAGCUUUCGGGUCCGUGAUGGUGAGACCUUCUACUUGGAGAGAGUCUAUGGAGUUAUAUCUCUUGUGGGCAUUGGCCAUUUUGUGAAAAAAUUUUGUGUUUUUAUCACCAUGUUUCAGCCAUUUAAUUCUUGAUCUUUGUCUCCAAGCUAUUUCCUCCCUCUUGGCAAUUUCUUCAAACUCCAUAGCUAGAUUGGUUUUUUGCAUGAGCUCAUCAUCAGAAAGGGCUCUAUGCUCUUGAAGAGUUUCCCAGGAGCUUAUCUACAGCAAGAUCUCUUCUUUCUUUUGUUUCUAGUUCACUCUCUGAUUUUUGCUCCAUUGUGUUAGCUCUUUUUUAGGAGCUUGAGCUUGUUCGCCAAAAUGUAAGCUGGUCUUCCUGUACCUGGGGAAGAGUUCCACCAGCCCUUCACCUUAUCCUUGAACCCUUCGACUUCAAGCCACCAAUUUUCGAAUUUAAAGUAGGAUUUUUUGAACGCCCAAUCACCACAUAUUAAUAAAAUUGGGUUGUGAUCAAAACCUAGUCUUGGGAGUAGUGUUUGUUUAACAUGAGUGAAUGAAUCUUCCCAUUCAGUAGAGUAAAGGAACCUAUCAAUUCUGGAUGCACUAUUCUGACUUUUACCCCUUCUCUAUGUGUAAGACCCUUCAAAUAAAGGAGGGUCUAUCAAUUGUAAGUCAUUGAUACAGUCAGAGAAUUCAGCCAUUGCCCCAGUGAACCUAUUGCAAUUUUCCCUUUCAGACACAAAUCUUGUUACAUUAAAGUCGCCACAUACCACCCAAGGCCCUUCAUAAAUAGUUCUGAUGACGUCCAGCUCAUUCCAAAGAUCUCUUCUGAUAACCCUAUUGUUGUUGGCAUAAACUGCACUAAGGUACCAUAUCAGCUCUUGGUUUAUGCCAGUGAAUUUACAAGUGAUCGAUUAGCUUCCAGUAUCAAUCAGCUCUCCCAACCAUUUUCUCUUAUCCCACAAGAUAAGAAUUCCCCUACUACUUUCCCUGGCCUCCAGGUGAGCUGCCCCUACCCAUCUGUUGGACCAAAGAUCCCCAUCAAACUCUUGACAUCCCCUUCCAGUUUAGUUUCUAUGAGAACCUGAAUGUUGGCACCCCAUUGAUGGACUAGUUGUUUUACCAACUUUCUUUUAUCUACCCCAUUAAGCCCCCUGACAUUCCAAGAUAGAAUUUUGACCUUCAUUGAUCACUGAUAGGUGGUCUCCUCCCUUUCCUUAAUUUACUUCUUGGCUCUCCAUCUUUGUAUCUCACCUCAAAGAUUAAAUUUCGAACUUGCUUCAGCACCAAGUGAUUACAAUUAGUUGGUUCUUUUGGCUGCUCUCUCCUCUGGUUCAAUUUGCCAAACAAAACCCCAGCAUCUUUCUCUAAACCAUCAAAUAAUGCCCCAAAUUCCUUGCUAAGUUUGAUGAUAUUUUGUUUUACCCAAGAGGAGGUUCUGAUCUCUACAUCUUUACUGCACUCGCUGGAAUCAAAUUGGAUGGGUGUGGGAUUCUCCAAGGAAAUUAAUUGAUUUCCUGGCAUUUCUGUUGUUUCAUUCAAAACUUCAACAGGUCUUGUUGGGGCUAAAACUGAAUUUUCUUUCUGGGAUGAGGCUGUACAAGCAUUGGGUAGGAGAUUGUCGAGUUGCAUGCAAGAUUCAGUUUUUUUUGUCUCGAGUUCACUGAUGAGGGCAUCGACUACGCAAUUGUUGAAAAAGGAGGGGUACAACUAGUUCGUUGUUAAAUUGGAAUUAACAAAUUUGGUAAAGGGCUCAACCUUGGUGGGUUUUGAAUAUUUCAAUGGUGGGGUUGGGAUUUGAGAGGCCUAAAAGAAAGCCAGUUAGUGAGUGGCCCAUUCUUAUUUAAAAACUCAGAAUUUAACUUUUGGGGAAUAACAUGUGAGCAGCACAUGUUGGAGCUAGUGGGUAACAUGUGGCUAGGACCCACUUCUUCAACAGCUGGCAGAUCAUUAACCAGUGGGUAUUUCCUAUGUCUCUUCAAUCCUAAUACUUGAUUUGUCUCAGUCACCUUUUGAAGUUCAGUAAAGCAGACUGCACCACUCUUACACAAAGUACUGGAUUUUUGUUUUCCGAGCACAACCACCUCAUAGCUUGGAAUCUUACCGGAGCUUCUACCCAUACUGGCAAGGAAAAAAUAAGAUCUCCAUCUGAAAUUUCAAUUUCCUCGGGAUGUCAUCGAAGGUGCCUUUAACUUUGAGGCGAGCCCAUCAGAAAUGAUUCUUCAGAGAAGUCUCUUCUUCAGUUUCAAUCCAUCCCCCGCAUUUAUCUCCUAAUUCUUUCAUGGUGUUGGCUGACCAAAGAUGAAGAGGAAGGCCAAGAACAAGAAUCCAUGACCAAGCAAAUUUUUAUUCUGCUGGAUAAGUGCCAGACAGUGGAGACCACUAAUCCAGCUCCAGAGACUUUUCUUGUUUUUUCUAUUUCCUAAGAAUGAUGUGUUUUGCAACUUCUCUUGAGUGGAACUCGAAUAGGAAUUGAGUCCCAUUCAUAUCAUAAAUCUGAAAAUUGGCUAUUUUCCAAGUCUGUUGGGCCCAUUUUCUCACAUAAUUUCUAGUUGGGAUCUUGUGGCACUUCGGGAAGCUUCCCACAAGGCAUCUCCUGGUGGGAUUUCUUUCACUCUGGAUGCCGGGAAUAGUUGUUCUCUGAUCAGAGGGAUUGGUUUCUUUCUGCAGAGUCCACUUGCUUCUUGCUAAAACUUCUUUAUAGGUGUCUUCUCUCCUUAAAGACUGUUGCGCUAGAGUUACUGUGGUUACGAAUUCAGGAACAUUCCUAUGCAUUGAAGGCUUUCUAUUAAUGAAGCAUUCAAUGCGGUCGGCGAGACUCAACCAACCCUCAUUAGGUUUGUUUUCUGGGAUAAUGAUCACUGCCCUAGAAUGACCAUUAACCGAGAUAACAGAAAGAAACCUGCCAAACUUAUUGAACUUAAGAGAGCAAAAAAAGAGGUGGAAAGAUCUCUAACUUUCCAGGUUUUGAAGGACCUUCCUUUAAACUCAGAUGCUUCAUACAUUCUUUUGCAUAUCCAGCUCGGAACCCCCUACUUAGAGUCAUCCUCCUCAUAUAUAAUCUAGCACUUUCUACCCAUUCAAACCACCUCUCAGACAAAGACUUUAUUUCUGAGAUGUCGUAUGAUUUCCCCCUUACCUGAAGUAAAUACGAUUGUCCAUUGGCUGGAGAAAAGGAUUUGAAGAAAGGGGAGAAGACGGAGGGAAAGUUCCGAUGGUGAAAGACCACCGGAAGAGGGUUCCAAAGGACCGAAAGGAGCCUUUAGGAAAGGACAAAUAUGUUUUGCCCAUAACACAGAAGAGCCUUUCCUGGCUCGGUAUCUGCUGCAGCUAUUAGAACUCCUCUAAUCUUGUCUUAAUUAUUCAUAAUUGUAUUAAAAUCACCUCAUAAGAGCCAUAGAGCUAAUAUUCUGUUUGCAAAGGAGACAAUAUUUUACCAUAACCCCAAUCUUUUAUUUUUGUCACAUUUAGCAUAUACUAGUAUUAACAAAAAACUUAAACCCAUGGAUUGAUCCUGAAUCAACAAAGAGAAUUGUUGUCUAGUAUCACUCUCUAUUGUGGCAUUGAAAUCAUGAUUAACAAACCAUUGCGAUUAUGGAACAUGUUUGGCAUUUGCAAUCUUCCUCUGUACUUAUUUAUGUAUCUGAUAUGCUGAAAUGGUUCUACUAUUGCUACAAAAGAAAACUUAUAUACCUUAUACAACAUCUGGACUCUCUGGAAAGACUUUUGAGGCUUCACAGGUCUAUUAUUCCAAACAAACUUUCAUAAUUGCUUAUUAAGAAUAUUUACAUUGCCUCUUUUAGACUGAGUUUUGCUUGGCGAGGUCUUUUUAGUUACAGACUGCUUUUUACCUUCCCUUUAUUGUUUGAUUAAUUUAUUAACCCUUGGAGAAACAUCUGGAUAUCUUAUAAUUUGGUUAUCUUGAUUAUCACUAAUACUCAUCUCUUUUAUUCCCUUCCAACAGACCUGCAAUUCCCUCUACUUCAUCAAAUUUAUGAGUGAGUAUAUCAUGUAGCACUGAAUUGGAAGGUUCUGAAUCUCCACACCACACUAGUCUACUGGAUCCUCAACAACUAAUGGAAUGUCUACAACAUCUAAGCUAUUAUUAAUUCAUUCUUCAUUCUUCUCCAAGUAUUCAAGAUCAUAAUGCUUUCUACUUUUGAGAGGUGAAUUAGCAUUCUUAACUUAGUUUCUGUUACUAUCUCUACCAACAGAACUCUGUUUUUUUGUGUUGAUUCACCUGCUCAUUCCCCACUACAUCCUUAUCUUCAAUAGCUGAUGAGUUUUUCAUUUUUUAUGGAUCAGUUAAUUUAUUAUGAUCUGAAUUGUUUGUCUCCUUUGUUGUAGAUUCCUCGUGAUUAUUCUUUACUGUGGGAGUUGCCUCUUCUAGCUGAUGAAAUAACUUGGUUACCUAGUCCUUGGUUGACAUACCCUUAUUCCCAUCCUUAUUAUUAGUAGCAUCCUUAUGAUUAUCAUUAUAUAUACCAUUAUGAUUAUGCAUGUUCUUCUCUAUUUCAUCUUUCAGUGAAUAAAACUUAUCUGUAGUGCUGAUCUUCUCAGGUGUUAUAGCCUUCUCUCCUUGAUAGCCAUUAUUAGGAAAUUUUCUUCUUGUAGGGUGCCAGCUGUUUACACUAAAUUUUUUCUACUUCUCUUGUCCUCUUGUUAUGUCCCUACCCCCAGCCUUAUUGUGGGUAUGACUAUGUGAAUUAUUCUCAUCUUCUUCAAAUACUUUCUUUAUCUCAAGGUGUGGUACCCUACAUUUAGCUUCAUUAUGUCCUUGUAGCAUGCAGUUAUUACAGUAGUUAGUUAGAAAAUAAUAUUUAAUAUUCACCCUUUAGACUUCUCAUUUAUUGAGUUCACUAUCUUCAUCUCAGCAUAUGUAGGAAGAUAAACAAGCAAAUCUACUUGUACACUAACCCUAGCAUAGUUAGGUCUAAUUUUGUUCUAAGUAGCCAUAUUAAAAUAAAUUGGUUUCCCCACUGGAGAAGCUAAUGAGAAAAGCGAUUCUUUCAUAAAAUAUGUUGGGUUAAGAUUAGGGAUAUAGAUCCAAGCCGUUUCCUAUCAAGUUUCUUCAUUUGCUUUAAGCAUAGCAUUAUAGAUAAACGGGUGCAUCUGAUAAGAAUGUUUAUCCUUAGCAUUUAUAGCAAACACCUAUAUAGAUAACAAUGAAAAAGUCAUCUUCUCUAUCAAGUCUCAUCAAAAUAUGUCGAUUUCUCAAUAACCCAAUGUUACAUCCACCUUUCACCUUGAGUUGCUUAGGUAGUUAUAUUCUAAGAUUAUCUAAGUCAGGCUAUCCAUAUGAAAACUUUCCAAUGAUAGGAUAUUGAAGCCCUUCAAUCAAAUUCAUUCUUUCUAGCUCUUCUUCUUUCCAUCAUACGCGAGGUACUUCAUUAAAGAAAUUAAUUUUUUUGAUAGGAAUUAGUUCUACCUCUACAUUUGCAUUAGCCUGGCCAGAGUUUUGUUUCAAAAAAGUAGAAUAAGUCAACUUUGGAGAAGGUGGUCUUGAAUUUUCACGAGUUGGUAUUUUUGUUGUGGUUUUAGUUGGUAAAACUGGGAAAUUAUACAUGUUAUUCUCAAGAGAGAGUUGUCCAGCCACAGAAUACGGCUGACCAACGACCACAUUGGCCAUUGUUGGAUGGAAAAACCUCAAGUUUUGAUAUUCGCAUUUUAGGAUUUAGGGUUCUCAGCUAAGUUGUAUGGACUCAGGUGCGGGUAUCCGAGACGGGUGUGGAUCCGAGAGUCGGAUUCGUCAAAUUUUAAUUUUUAAGAUUCGGGGGUACGAAUCCGAUUAUGGAUACAGGUGCGGGGAUUUGGCUAAAAAAUUAAAUAUUAUAAAUAUAGUUCUAUAUUUAAACAGUCAUUUCAAUUUAAUUUUUUCUAUAUAUCAAGGAAAUUUUAUUUUUAAAAAAAUAUUCUUUACUUUUUUUAUUAAAUUAAGAAUAGUAUUUUUUUAUAUGGAAAGAAAAUAUAUAUUUUUUAAUUAGGAAUAGUAUUUGAAAAGUCAAACACUCAUCAGAUCUAAGUAAAAUAGGUUUACCUUUUUUAACAUAAUUUAUUUUUAUUAAACUAUAAUUAUCAAAAAAUGGGACCAUCAACAGUGGUGUCGACAAGCACAAUCUGAGCAUUCUACUCUUUCUUCCCCAUCAAAAUUCCGACGACGAUAACCCUUCCGUCGGCGACAAUCGACAAUCAUACAUUUGAGCAUAAUACCAUUUUCUUUUUCUGCCCCAUCGAAAUUCCGCCGGCGACAACCCUUUCGCUGACGACAACAAUCACAGUUGUCGAUUUUCUCCCUUUGCCGGUUUCUCCUUUUCGAUAACGAAGCCAACUUUCUUAUUGAUGUUGGUCAACGUCUCCGAAUUUGUUUGACCGAAUCCGAGACGUAUCCUGCGCCGACGUCCGUACCGGUGUCACGUCGGGAUGGGUUCGACGGCAUAACCGUCGAUUUCGUGCAACAUAGCUUAUCGGUUCUAAAACCUAGAUUACCUUCAUAGCAGCUGGCAUUGCCUCCAUUUUCAGAUCAAAUUCUUUCUACUGGAUAACCCCCCCCCCCCCCCCCCCCCCCUCUCCACACACAAAACUCUCUUACCACACGGUUCGAACUGGUAAAGUGCGCCUAAUCCACAUAGCGCGUGCUGCGUGCGCAUUUGCCUCCUUUUUAUGAGCAAUGAUAAAAUAAUACUGUAUUUAAUCUCAAGAAUAUUAUCCCUUAUCCCACAUACCAGCCAACCGCUUACUCUUCUGUGUUCUCAUUAUUUUUUUGCUAUUCUCUAGUAGAAACUUCUUAAAUUUGAUAACUAAUAUACAAAAAUCAGUGUGUAAACCUAAAAAUAGGUCAUUUAUACUCUUGCAAAAAUUACACAAAAGGGCAACCCAAUGCACUAAAGCGUCCACUACGCACGCGGUCCAGGGAACGACUGAACCAAAAGGACUUAUUGUACGCCACCUUACCUUGCAUUUCUGCGAGAGGUUGUUUACACAACUUAAACUCGUAACCUCCUAAUCACAUGAAAACAACUUUACCCAUUAGUCCAAGGGAUACAACGCGUGCACUUCCCAAGGGAUCACCCAUCUUAUUACUAAUCUCUCCCAAGCAUGCUUAGCUUUGAAGUUCUGUCAAAAAAUAAUGCCGCUUCCACCACCACCGAUUCCGGCGAGCUCUAUUGCGGCAAAUUUGCCACCAUAGAGCUCACCAGAAUCGAUGGUGGUGGAGGCGGCAUUAUUUUUUGGGAAACUGAUUUUGAGUAAGUUAUAUUUUCUCUAGAAUUCCGGUCUUAUAUGAUCUAUGAAUUGAUUAUUGUAAUUUUCAAAAGGUAUGCGAUCAUACAAGCUUAACACAUCAGAUCCUAUCAGAACUUCAAAGCUAAGCGUGCUUGGGAGAGAGUAGUAAUAAGAUGGGUUAUCCCUUGGGAAGUGCACGCAUUGUAUUCCUUGGACUAACGGGUAAAGUUGUUUACAUGUGAUUAGGAGGUUACGAGUUUAAGUUGUGUAAACAACCUCUUGGAGAAAUGCAAGGUAAGGUGGCGUACAAUAAGUCCUUGUGGUUCGGUCGUUCCCUGGACCGCGUGCGUAGUAGGAGUUUAGUGCAUUGGGUUGCCCUUUUGUGUAAUUUUUGAAAGAGCAUAAAUGACCUAUUUUAGGUUUACACACUGAUUUUUUGUGUAUUAGUUAUCAAAUUUAAGAAGUUUCUACUGGAGAAUAGCGAAAAAACAAUAAGAACACAGAAGAGUAAGCGGUUGGCUAGUAUGUGGGAUAAGGGAUAAUAUUCUCGAAAUUAAAUACAGUAUUAUUUUAUCAUUGCUCAUAAAAAUGGAGGCAAGUGCGCACGCAGCGCCGCGCUAUGUGGAUUAGGCGCACUUACCAGUUUGAACUAUGUUCUAGGCAAAAGUCUAGUGUUUUGAGUAGAGGGGGAAAGAAUUUGAUCUGAAAAUGGAGGCAAUGCCAGUUGCUAUGAAGGUAAUCUAGAUUUUAGAACUGAUAAGCUAUGUUGCACGGACUCAAACACCUGAUAUAAACUGAAUCACUUAAUCUCAAACAUAAUGAGCUACUGCACUGAUAUGCAAGUGCAUGAAUUCUCGUGAAAAUAGCUAUAUGGCUAAGAUAGAAAUGAGAGUGUCAACCUAUGAGUAACCAUUUUUUACCCUAGAUCUAAUCUCAUGAGAAAGGAUGAGAGGUUUAUGACAUGAAAACUCGAGGUAUUACAACAUCCCCCUCUUGGGAUCAUUCGUCCCGAAUGAUAAUGAUUUGGUUGAAAUACUAGAAAAAGAUUAAGAUGAUACACAGGAUACUUACGAACUGAAUCAUGACUUAAUAUCUUAAACUAAAACUAAUGCAUGGACUGAACUGAAGGAUCUCGAGGAAUAACAAUACUCAUAAAACUUUAGAUAGUAAGACUAGAUGAAAAGUUGGGAAUCUAUGGGAACUUAUCUACUUGCUUGCUAAACUGGAUUGCAGGCUAUAUGGACUAGAUCAUACUGACUGCCCAUACUCAAAUGGAGUAUUUCUUCAGCACUUUUCUACGAAAUUCUAUUGACAUUAGGGAGCAAAGAAUUUUGGGCAUGAUCUGAAUAAGACAUUUUUCUAAGGAAUCACAACAUUGAUAUAACUCUAUAGUAUGGAAUAUAGACAUAUAACUCAGGGGCUAAUAUAGAAUUGCUAGGCCACAGGCAACACAACUUCUUACUUUCAAGCUUAGCAACACUUUUCAAAUACUCUCUCAACCAUACUAUUCCCCCUUAAACACCAUACUCAUUUGAUUCAACUUAUAAUUCUCACAUGGGCAUUAAUAAAUCCAUCUACUAAUGUCUAAAUUGAACUAAGUCCUCUCACCAUGAUCAAGCCUAACUCUAAAACAUAAGAUACAACAGGUCAAACCACAAUACUAGUCUAAGCCACAAGAUUCAGUAUUCUAUAUCUUUUUAGAGUUCACACCCUAAGCAUAACAUGCCUUACCACUUCAAUGACUAACUCGAAACACUUAUUAUUGAUUCACUAGCGUAUAUUGCAUCCGUCCACUUACACCCAACAUGACAUUCAAGCCUAUCAUUAAAAUCACAUAUAACUUUAAGGCAAAUACCCAUAAAGGCAUACUUUGCAUUCUCUCUAAACCUUUAUCAAUAACAAUUUUCUUGCACUAUUCUUAAAAACAUACACACAAUUUUAACUAACCAUGACAUGUAUCAAAGACUUGGCCUCAAUCUUACCUCACACUUUAGCCUUAGAUAGAAAAACAUAAAUAAUCUUUCUUAAUGAGGGUCAUCAACUCUCUCUCAUCUAAACCAUUGUUUAUCCACUAUCAUUACCACUAUCUUAACAUAGGAAGAGGUCACCGAAGGGCUAACACAUAAGAACCUGAAGCACAAAAGACUACAAUACGUAACUAUAACACUUAUCUUAGGCCUGAGGAAUAAAAUGUCAAAGGCAUAGAUUCAUUAAAGAGACCUAAACUGAGGACAUACAUUAUAUAAUGCGAACUUUACUAGUAUCAUGAGUUCUAAAACUGGUCAUACUCUGAAACAUGAGUUCAUACUUAUCAUAAGCUAUUUAUCAUAUGACUAGAGUUCAUAGAUUUCUGAGGGAUGACUCAAAUCAUAGAGUGAAACUGUUACUUACUUACUAAAAAUUAAGAAUGAGCUUGAAUAUGCAUGAAGUAUAUAAGCAUUGGCCCUUAAAUACGCUGAAACAAGAGCUGAAAAAAUAAGAGAGCAUGCUGCGGAGCAUUUUUCGCACGCUAUGGAGCACCAGAAUGGAGCAUGCGGCGCAUACUCUAUCCCAUGCUACUAGGGGUGGAUUAGAGUGUGCGUCGUACACUAAUCGCACGAUGCCACUAUUUUUAAUUCCAAACAUGCCCUAAACGAAUUUCAAAAAUUUUGAAACUCACCCAAGAUGUACUAUUGACUCCCCCGAUAAUGAAUCAACUUGAAAAUUAGCUUUCGAAGGUCGGGAAGGUCUCAAAUAAAUUCCUCAUAGUUUGAAAGUUUUGGAAAAGAGUAAGUCUUGGCACUUAGCUGAAAAUUUCUACGUUUUGGGACCUAUUUUGUCAUGCAACAGGGAACUGAAAUGAGCUAGAAUAUUAAAGGGUCUUAUACUAUCUCCCCCUUAGAUUAAAGCCAUCUUCUGAACUUAUGGAUCUAUCUCACAUUCCUAAGAGUGAGUUGGAAUAUCUUUGCUCUAACAGUCUACACUUAAAUGCUACACUCACACGCAUACACUAUAUUUUGAACUUACUGACUUCUUUCUUGAAUACCCUUCCAUAUACCAUUCUUAACUUCCUCUAUCUUUGAUAAUCAUCAUCAUAGACUUACAUUCUCUUAAUUCGAAAAGCAUACCCGCCCCGCUAAACACAUAAUCAUAGGCUAACAAGAUCAUACUUCUAUACUUAUAUUUUUUUCCAAACCAUAAGAAUCAAAAUCAUACUUAAUCUCAAAUCAAUAAACUUAAAUUCUUGCAUUCACUGUUUCAAGCCUAUUAGUUCACCUCCAUAUAACUAGCUUCACUAACCAAGCAAUCGUUAUCCCCACCUUGCUCAUCAUCUACUAGUCGAACUUAGUAUCUCAUUCUAGCUAUGAUUAGCCACAAUCUUAACAACUAUUCUUACCUACCAAACAUUCAAAAAUACUAGUCCGCUAAAACCUCAUAACAAUAAUGAUCAAUCACAAUCUUAUGGUCUAUCUUAUUAUGCUUCGCUAGCACCUCCUUUUUCUACACCUCAUUACUAUUUACCCUUCUUAUACACCUAAACUCCUUCAUAGCUUUAUAAGUUUCAACUAAACUUUCUCUUGCAAUCUCAGGGAAGCCUAAAUUAACAAUAGUCAUCCACCAAGUACUUCCAUCAAAACCUAUACUUUUCUAGAACAACAAAUACCAUCAAUAACUCUUUUCUUACCUCAAGCAAACAACAAUCCACCUGAACUAAUAAUAUCUUCCUCUAACUUUCACUAAACUAACAAACAAGGAUAUAUCACUUCAUUACUAACUCAAUCAUAAGCGAAAAUUCAGCUAUACAUAUUCAAUAAAUCACCCUUACCACCUUUCUUGUCCCUACACUUCUAAACCCAUACUUCUAACUAACACAAGAACAACAAGAUGAACAAAAAGUUGCUAGUGAAUCGAAAUAGGCCUCACACGGCUUCACUAGACUUUAAUUUUGUGUUUUGAACAAGAAAAUAAGAUGAAUAACAAAGCAACUAUGCUAGUGAAUCGAAAUAGGCCUCACACAGCUUCACUAGACUUUGAUUUUCAAAAACAUCAUGAUAACAAGAUUACAUAAUACAAUGGAUAGAAACUUGACAUACGAUAUUCAAUGAUCUAAGAAUACAUAUCUUACUUUUUCUUAAUUGAACAACUUAUACGAAUGAGGACAUAACUUUAAAUUUGAGGGACUUAUAACACACUAGAAGGCUCCUCUCAAGCCACUUUGUGAAACUUUUGAAACUUCUUGCUAGUAAGUCUGAGAGCAUUAUCAGGGGAGGAAAUUGUAACUUGCCGAUCAUGUUACCUCAAGAACAUUACAUAUAGAGAAGUAUGGAUCAUCAUAAUGGGUUCUGAAGAGAAAUCUAAAAGCACAUCUGACUUGGGCUUAGUGCACGAUUUACAAACACAAUAAAGCACUUUAAUCUUCGAAACACAAAAGCACUGAUGGUAUAUUUUCUAGCUCGUUUACAAUCCUAUAACUAUCUAUGGAGACCGUAUGAGGAAGUACUGUCUGUAAAGAUUUAAGCUCGACUGUUUCUAAUAUCAUAAAAAUAAGACAGAGAUAGCCUAAAUAGAGUAAGAUAAGAAUUUGUAUAAGUUUCUUAGAGAACCUUUCUAUAACACGAUCUGAAACUUGAAACAAGGGGAACAUUUCCUAAAUGCCCUGUAGCCUCUCGAAGAAAAGUACAGACAUCUCUGUACCAUUUCGCAAAACUCUACUAGACAUGGCUUCAUAGACACCCUAGGAGACUUGAACCUUGUGCUUUGAUACCAAGUUUGUAAUGCCUCGAAAUCGGGUCCCAAGAAGUCACACGGUGCUCAGGGUCACAAGUCACCCCAAGCUAACCCUUCUACUGGCAUAACUCAUAAGCAACUGUAUAAAAUACUUAAAUCUGUAUAAAAUUAGCGAAAACAUAAAACUUUUCUGAACUUGAUCAAUACAAAUAUAAAAUUAACAAGAUUACAACUCUACUUUAAAAAAAAAACUUAAAUUGAAUACAUCAAUUUCUACUGACUGUCUAUGAAGCCUCUACUAGUACUGACUUUAGGUAGCCGGGUCAUGACUCCCAACUAUCCCAACUCAAUACGACUGAAAUAGGAAAAUAAAGAACUGCUCAAACUGUCUAUCUGGCUCAAACCCUUGAAUUAAAAGGAUUCAUCACCUGCUGACUGGAAGCUGCGAACUGACUGAAUCUGAAUGUGCAUACUAAGUCUUGUACCUACAUUAUGAGACAAUAUAGAACAUAGACGUAUAUAUGGAUCAACACUUUGGGAAUGUACUGAGUAUAUGAGGGUGCAAUGCAAUAAGUAAACAAUAUCUCAAUAUCAUCAUAGUUUAUAAAAUCAUGCAUACUGACAAUAAUGACUCACAUAGCUUGAGUAAAACUGGGAUAUAAAUACUCAUAAACCACAAAUCAUGAUAUAUAUAAUAUAAAUCUUUUGAGUCAUUAUACUUAACUCAAAACUUGUACUCUUCUCUUAUUCACAAUACUUGUAAGUUAAAGAAAUUUGUAAAUAAUACUUUCAAAACUCAUACUCUUAUCUUAAGGAGAAUAACACUUCUUUAAAACUCAAGGACUCAGAACUUUACAAGCUUAAGACUUGGAAACUCUGGGGUUGGAAAACUUUAGACUUUUAUGGACUUGGGAGUUUCUUCUAACCGACAUAAACUAUGUGAGCUACAUGGAGUCCAACGUCUUACCUACGUCGGGGAGAGCUAUUCUAUCCUUGCUUUCGAAUAGAACCUUAACUUUAGUGAUCACUGUCUUAGCCCAAUUGGGGUAUAUCAAGAACCUACGGGGGCAUGUAGUUCUGGGGCAUGAGACCUCGGAAUCAAGCCCAACUCGGUGCUAAAUACUACUCGCUUACUUAGCUUAGAACUUUAGAAAAUCCACUUUAAAACAUUUCAAUACUAUGCAAUGGGAGCCAAAACGCAUCCCCUUUAUCUCAAAAUCAAGAAUGCGGAUUUCUUUCUUAACUUAGGUUCAAAAUUCCCUUUCUUCUUGAAAUUUUAGUAGACUUAUCAUCAAAGCUUUCAAAGGGUCUUAACAUGAUGGAAAUAUGAGCAUACUUUUGCAAUUCUUUAAAAAAAAUCAUCAACCCAUACUUUAAACAAUAAGGUUCAAUUUAUAACAACAAGACUCGGAAAUUCUUGAAAAAUAUGACAUGAACAUAGGAAUAUGAAACUCAAAGCAUGACUUACCAAUUUAAAUCAUAAAUAUGUAAAAUAAUAGCACAAUUCAAGACUUGGGCAAUUCCAUAAUCUCAUAAACUUGAAAUAUAAUAAAAUAAUAUGAAUUCAUCAUGGAAAUAUGAAAUUCUUUAAGAAAAAACUAAAACUUUUGGGCACAAGAACGAAAGGGUGUUCUUGUUCAAACCCCACAUACCUUGGAAUUGAAGCUUUGAAUGAACUCUUAACUCCGGAUUGUUAUUCUUGAGAUUAAUGGGUGCUUCUUGUGGCCCUCGGAAUGGGAAAUUCGAAUCUUGAAAAAUUAUUGAAAACCUUCGGUUGAAUCUUGAGAUAUUUGGAUUUUUAGGUUGAAACCAUAAUGAAUGUUCUUGGUGAUUUUGAGAGAAAAUAAACUUAUUUUGGUGUUAUGGGAGUUUAAUCCCGUGUUAUAGCUGGACAGGGGUUGGAAAAUACCACUUUUACCCUUAAAAGUGCUGAAACAGAACCUGAAAAUUAUUAGCGUGCAACAGAGCGUGCGUCGCACGCUUAUCGCAUGGUGCUACUGGCUCAACCACUAAAAUGCCCAUAACUUUUCGUUCGGGUAUCGAAUUUUUGCGAAAUUGGCAUCGUUGGAAAGCUAAUUCAAUUAUCUACAAUUUGAUUGGUCUUGGGAUGAAAAAUUUCAUUUAUAUUAAGAGUUAUACACGUUUGAAGUAGACCCUUGUAGAAUCGAAUGUCAAACUUUGGACGAAUCAAUUGAUCUUAGCUCAACUUUUUUCUAGGUCAUUGCUAUGAACAUUUUUAUCCUCUAAACUACUCCAUAAACUAGUAUAAUGAUCAUGAAACUUGUAUUCACAUGAGAAUAACUUGGAUUAGAGCUUAAACGCAUAUGAAUGACGGUUUGAAUUCUAGCACGAGAAUAUGGGAUAUUACACGUUGACUAACAUCAAGAAGAAAGUUGGCUUCGUUAUCAAAAGGGAGAAACCGACAAAGGGAGAAAAUCGUCAACUGUAAUUCUUGUCGUUGGCGAAAGGGUUGUCGCCGAUGGAAUUUCGAUGGGAAAGAAAGAGAAAAUGGUAUUAUGCUCAGAUCUGUGAUUGUUGAUUGUCGCUGGCGGAAGGGUUAUCGUCGCCGGAAUUUUGAUGGGGAAGAAAGAGUAGAAUGCUCAGAUUGUGCUUGUCGGCGUCACUGUUGAUGGUCCCUUUUUUUGAUAGUUAUAUAUUUUUUAAAAAUAAAUUAUAUUAAAAAAGGUAAACCUAUUUUACUUAGAUCUGACGAGUGUUUGACUUUUCAAAUACUAUUCCUAAUUAAAAAGAAUUUAUUUUCUUUCCAUAUAAAAAAAAUACUAUUCUUAAUUUAAAAAGUAACUAAAAAAAUUACCUUAAAAGUAAAAAAAGUAAAGAAUAUGUUUUUAAAAAUAAAAUUUCCUUGACAUAUAGGAAAAAGUAAAUUGAAAUGACUAUUUAAAUAUAGACUAUAUUUAUAAUAUUUAAUUUUUUAGCUGAAUUCCCGCACCCAUAUCCAUAAUCAAAUUCACACUCCCGAAUCUUAAAAAUUAAAAUUUGAUGAAUCCGACUCUCGAAUCCGCAUCCGUCUCGAAUACCUGCAUCCGAGUCCAUGUAACUUAGCUGAUAAGAAAGUUAAACAAGGUUGUGGAUUUUCUUGCUCAGAGAUUAGUGAUAGAUAUCACAUAAUUGGGGAUGUCAGAUUCUUUUUCCUCUUGCUUUAGACUUCUAAGUAAGGAUAUAAUAUGCUUCAUGGGCAAUUGGUAAUCAAUGCAACAUGUUUUAAAACUCAAGAGUACUAUUGGCUACUGAAAUCACCAACAAUUAUUAACUUGAUUACUGGUUAUAUCUUCUGCAGAAGUUACAAUGUAGUAUUCUUUUUAGAAUUUAUGUUUGUCAACUUUUCUUUCAUCUUGAAAGUUGGGAUAAUACAAGAUUAAGUUUGGGAUAAAAUAUAGAUAUUGUGUUUGAUUGACGGUUUAAAUUUAUUCCAUCAACCAAAUAUAUCCAGUGUAAUAUCAUAAGUGGUGUAUGAGGAAAAUAGAAUGUAGUAGACCUUACCUCUAACUCAGAGGUAGAAAUUAUUUAUGAUAAACCCUCGACUCAAGAAAUUUUACCCUAAACUUAAUCUUGGAAUAUCCAUCUUUCCCAUCAAACUUGGGAUUAUGUUGUCCAACCUUUCGUGUGAGAAUUGAGAUAAAUUAGUUCAAGGAUAUCAUAAUCCCGAGAUAAUUUAAUCCGCCAAUCAGACGAUCCUUGGUAAUCAAAUUCUGAAACUUUCUACUUGAGAAGAAUGAAAAGGAGUUUUAGUGCUUGACAAGAAAGACUUAAAUUUGUUUGUCAUUUUUAAGUGUUUGUUUAUAGCUGACCUAAACUAAUCUUUGGAUUGAGACGCAGUUGAUUCAUUGAUUUUCUAAGCAUUUCUAACUAUUCAAAGCAAUCAAUUUCAUUCUCUAAUCGUCCACGAUCCAAGCAUUUGAAAUCCAAAUUUGUCCAUCUAUAUGGGCCACGUAAGGUUAAUAACAUUUUCUUUAAUCAGGAUUAGUGUAUACAGAACUUGACAACUAAUAUCUCCAACUAUGGGUAUUGUUUAGGUUUUCUGAAUUUCAUUUUCUGUAGAGUUUUAUGCGGAAGGAAGAAUACUGGGGUAUACCAAACUACUAUAUACCUUUGAAACUGCAUCAUUUCAUAGGGAGUAUCUUCUUCUUUUUCGGGUACACUUCGUUCACUGACCACCACCGGCCGGCCGACACCGGAGACGGAGUAGGCGCGCCGGAA